AUGGAGUCUCUUGCUCUGUCACCCUGGCUGGAGUACAGUGGAGUGAUCUCAGCUCACUGAAACCUCCGUCUCCCAGGUUCAAGCAAUUCUCCUGCCUCAGCCUCCUGAGUAGCUGGGAUUACAGGGGUGUGCCACCACACCUGGCUAAUUUUUGUAUUUUCAGUAGAGAUGGGUUUUCACCAUGUUGGCCAGGAUGGUCUCGAUCUCUUGACCUCGUGAUCCACCGACCUUGGCCUUCCAAAGUGCUGGGAUUACAGGUGUGAGCCACCGUGCCUGGCAAGCUUAUUUGCAAAGCAUCAUCUAAAACCCUAGAAAGGAGGUGACAUUAUUAUUCCCAUUUUAAAUUUUAUUGUAUGUAUGUAUUUAUUUACUUACUUAUUUACUUACUUUAUUUUUACUUUCCAGACAGGGUCUCUCUUUGUUGCCUAGGCUGGAGUGCAGUGGAACGAACUUGGCUUAUUGAAGCAUUGACCACCUGGACCCAAGUGAUUCUCCUACCUUAGCCUCUUGAAUAGCUGUGACAACAGGUGUGCACUACCACACCCAGAUAAAUUUUGUAAUUUUUAUAGAGAGGGCAUUUGACCAUGUUGCCCAGGCUGGUCUCAAACUCCUGAGCUCAAGUGAUACUCCUGCCUCGGCCUCCCAAAGUGCUGGGAUUACAGAUGAAGAAAAUGAGGCACUGAGAGAUUACAUAACUUCCCUUGAGUCAUAUUUGCUUGUAAGUGGUAAGGCUGGAUGUUGAACCCAGGACAAAGGGCGGCUUGCAGUAAACUUCUUGGAGGAGAAUUGGCAUUGCAAGGGUGUUACUGGAGACCUCGGCAAGAAAGUGAAUGCAAAGACAGAUGACCCAGGAACCCGUGAUGGAUAAGGCUCUUGACAGCCAGGACGUGGAAUUACAGGGGGUCUCUUUGAGAGACAAAAUAAAAAAAAUAGCCCAGUAAUCUUCCUUCCACCCUUUUCUCCCAGAUCUAAUUACAGAUGUCUUGACAUUCCUUCUGCAUAGAAUUUCCUUAAAAGAUUUGCCAAGAAGAAACAUUUGGAAACUGUGUUUUAGGUAUAAUCCGUCUGGGAGUCACUCUUGCUCGCUUUGUCGUUAGAUGACAAAACGCUUAAUUACAGCGAGCACAAUGUAUACCACAUUUGGAAAACUGGAUUCUUGACCUAAAUAAUGUACCCCAUACUGACAAUGGCCUUUUGGCAAAACUUGUGUCUCUGAUCUCACAUUAAUUACUACACAAAUAUACUUAUUGUGGGCACCGAGUUUAUGGGAUGGAGUCCUCUUGACACAUGUUCACCAUAAAAACACAUUUUUUUCCCUUCCCCUGACCCUAAGGAAAAGAAAAAAAAAAAGAUUAACAUUUUUCAAGAUGCUGUUUUAGUGACAUGAAAACUGUCUGUUGAGUGUUCACUCGGCUUUUGUUCUUUUUCUUUUCUCCUUUUAUUAAAAAGCCUUUCAAACCAAGCAUUCCUGGUUUGUGAUUCUUUACUUUUGCUUUUAUGCUGAGGGAGAGACAGAUUAGAUUAGAUUAAAGACCAAGGGACACCUCGUGAAAUACAUUCCAUCUAGAGGCAAUUUGGUUGAGAGGGCCAAUUGUGUGUGUGUGUGCCUGUGUGCGUGCAGGCGUGCGUGUUUCUCCUUGUGGCAUACUGGUGGUCUUUUUACAGAUACAGAGUUCUGGUUUUUGGAAAUGCGUUUAUUCCUUUAGCCUUUUUCCCUUCAGAAGCCUGCAGCCUUUGAUUGUGGCCUGACUUUUAGGGGUCUGCGGCAUUUUGGGGGGUAGUAAAUCUUAUUAACUCUUCCCUUUAGUGUCUCGCCAUUCUCAAAAACUUUUACAAAAAGCAGCAACACCGCCCUCACCAAAGACAGAUGAAAGGAGCGGUUUCAAAG
rnacentral:lncRNA from 1 species